GAUGAACGCUGGCGGCGUGCUUAACACAUGCAAGUCGAACGAUGAAGCCCAGCUUGCUGGGUGGAUUAGUGGCGAACGGGUGAGUAACACGUGAGUAACCUGCCCUUGACUCUGGGAUAAGCCCGGGAAACUGGGUCUAAUACCGGAUAGGAGCGCCUGUCGCAUGACGGGUGUUGGAAAGAUUUUUCGGUCAUGGAUGGACUCGCGGCCUAUCAGCUUGUUGGUGAGGUAAUGGCUCACCAAGGCGACGACGGGUAGCCGGCCUGAGAGGGUGACCGGCCACACUGGGACUGAGACACGGCCCAGACUCCUACGGGAGGCAGCAGUGGGGAAUAUUGCACAAUGGGCGGAAGCCUGAUGCAGCGACGCCGCGUGAGGGAUGACGGCCUUCGGGUUGUAAACUCUUUCAGCAGGGAAGAAGCGAAAGUGGCGGUACCUGCAGAAGAAGCACCGGCUAACUACGUGCCAGCAGCCGCGGUAAUACGUAGGGUGCGAGCGUUAUCCGGAAUUAUUGGGCGUAAAGAGCUCGUAGGCGGUUUGUCGCGUCUGUCGUGAAAGUCCGGGGCUUAACCCCGGAUCUGCGGUGGGUACGGGCAGACUAGAGUGCAGUAGGGGAGACUGGAAUUCCUGGUGUAGCGGUGGAAUGCGCAGAUAUCAGGAGGAACACCGAUGGCGAAGGCAGGUCUCUGGGCUGUAACUGACGCUGAGGAGCGAAAGCAUGGGGAGCGAACAGGAUUAGAUACCCUGGUAGUCCAUGCCGUAAACGUUGGGCACUAGGUGUGGGGACCAUUCCACGGUUUCCGCGCCGCAGCUAACGCAUUAAGUGCCCCGCCUGGGGAGUACGGCCGCAAGGCUAAAACUCAAAGGAAUUGACGGGGGCCCGCACAAGCGGCGGAGCAUGCGGAUUAAUUCGGUGCAACGCGAAGAACCUUACCAAGGCUUGACAUGUUUUCGAUCGUCGUGGAGACACGGUUUCCCCUUUGGGGCGGAUUCACAGGUGGUGCAUGGUUGUCGUCAGCUCGUGUCGUGAGAUGUUGGGUUAAGUCCCGCAACGAGCGCAACCCUCGUUCCAUGUUGCCAGCACGUUGUGGUGGGGACUCAUGGGAGACUGCCGGGGUCAACUCGGAGGAAGGUGAGGACGACGUCAAAUCAUCAUGCCCCUUAUGUCUUGGGCUUCACGCAUGCUACAAUGGCCGGUACAAUGGGUUGCGAUACUGUGAGGUGGAGCUAAUCCCAAAAAGCCGGUCUCAGUUCGGAUUGGGGUCUGCAGCUCGACCCCAUGAAGUCGGAGUCGCUAGUAAUCGCAGAUCAGCAACGCUGCGGUGAAUACGUUCCCGGGCCUUGUACACACCGCCCGUCAAGUCACGAAAGUCGGUAACACCCGAAGCCGGUGGCCUAACCCUUGUGGGGGGAGCCGUCGAAGGUGGGUCCAGCGAUUGGGACU
rnacentral:rRNA from 1 species